UCAUAUGCUUGUCUUAAAGAUUAAGCCAUGCAUGUCUAAGUAUAAGCUUUUAUACGGCUAAACUGCGAAUGGCUCAUUAAAACAGUUAUAGUUUAUUUGAUGGUCUUUACUACAUGGAUAACCGUGGUAAUUCUAUGGCUAAUACAUGCGCACAUGCCUCUUCCCCUGGAAGGGCAGUGUUUAUUAGAUACAGAACCAACCCACCUUCCGGUGGUCCUCAGGCGAUUCAUAGUAACCGAACGGAUCGCGUUGACUUCGGUCUGCGACGGAUCAUUCAAGUUUCUGACCUAUCAGCUUUCGACGGUACUGUAUUGGACUACCGUGGCAGUGACGGGUAACGGGGAAUUAGGGUUCGAUUCCGGAGAGGGAGCCUGAGAAACGGCUACCACAUCUAAGGAAGGCAGCAGGCGCGCAAAUUACCCAAUCCUGAUUCAGGGAGGUAGUGACAAGAAAUAACAACACUGGAAAUUUCAUUUCUAGUGAUUGGAAUGAUAGGAAUCCAAACCCCUUUCAGAGUAACAAUUGGAGGGCAAGUCUGGUGCCAGCAGCCGCGGUAAUUCCAGCUCCAAUAGCGUAUAUUAAAGUUGUUGCAGUUAAAAAGCUCGUAGUUGGAUUUCUGCUGGAAGCAGCCAGUCCGCCCUCAGGG